AGCCGGGGGUUCAGCGGUCCCCUGUACCGGAAUAUCCGCUAUAUGCCGGGGUGAUUUCUGUUCGAGGGCUUUUUUGAAAUGACAGCUGCCCUGAAUAAGUGGCGUUGAUACCUGGGUCCUGAGCAAUGGGUGCCUGUGAACCGUGUCAGGUCAGGAAUGAAGCAGCACUAAGCAGGAUUUCUCAUGUGCCUUGGGGGUGCCUGGGUUGAGCUAACUGUUCAGGUAAC
rnacentral:SRP_RNA from 1 species